AUGUCAAAUGUUCCUUUCUGUAGAAUGAAAGUAGAAAUAUUAUGUUUUAUGGUUAACCAAAAUGGAUAAACAAACUUAACACGCCGACAUAUACAAUUGACCUCCCAGAUUGUCAACGAGUCUUGAAUUUUUUAACAUCAAAUUUACUUCGAAUUACCAUCUCAAAAUUAGAAUCGCAGACUUGUCCUACGUGUCAUUUUUUGUCCCACGUGUAUCGUGUCAUGUAGGACUCAUGUGUUUAUUUAUUUAAAAGUUGGAUAGUUAAAGUGUCUGUUCGUGCAUUAUGAAAGUUGGAGGUCAAAGUUAAAAUUUGAAGCCAAGUUUAGGGUCCAAUAUAUAUAUUAAUGCCAAAAAACAACAUGUCCUUAGCACAUCUAAAAAGCAGAUAACAUGAAAUUCAGAGGCAUGACUCUUGAAUCAUACACAUGAUUUAACUUAUCAUUCACUGACAAUGUAAAACGUUUCUACUCAUAAGUAAAUCACCUGGACUUCAACAAGACCAGUGCUCUGAGCGAUGACGACUUCAAUGGUCCCAUCGGGUUUAGGUCGCCAGUAUCCGCUCUCAGAAUGCAUAGGUUGUCCAGAUUUCAAGUUCCAUGUCUUUUGAGAAUAAGCUAUCACAGGCUGAUAAAAAGAACAAAAAUUUAGGCAAAAAAGAUCAUCGCAUGUAUAGUGACAGCGCCAGUAAUUCUAAUAAAGGGAUUCGGAAAAAAAAAAUGCAAGAAUGCAACACUUGGAGGUUGAACAUGCCACUUAACACAAUUUUGUGAACCCCAUUUGUUACAAGAUUCCCUUUUUUUUAGGGAGACUCAAACAAUGUAUAUAUAUAUUACCCUCUCCGUCCCAUUUUUAUAACAUCAUUUGACUAGGCAUAGAGUUUUAAGAAACAAAUUUGAAACUUAUGAUCCAAACAAGCCAUAAAUAUUUAUGUGACGGUGUCAAGAGUUCAUCGGGUUAAAAAGGACUCACUAAAUCAUUAACUAAUCACGUACUAAUACUAAAAGAACCAUCUUUUCCGUAUACUUCUCCUCCUACUCAUCUCGAAAUCUAAAGUUAAAUUAUUACUAAAUAUGACAAUCUGCCCUUUUACAUAAACAUACCAAAAGGGAACCACAGAAACUAGGACAGAGGAAGUGUAAUUAAAAAAAAAAGAAUCACUAAAAUUUCAACUAAAUACCGAUAAAAAGAUCACUAACAAAUUUUAAACAGAUACUCUCUCAGUUUCAAUUUAUUUAUCUUACUUAUCUUUUUAGUUCUGUUUAAAAAAUACACCUUUCCUUUCUGGACAACUCUUUAAUUCUAACUUUACACCUACAUUCUAUGUAUUCGUAAUUUAAAACUACAACAUUCCUAAAAUCUUGUUCAAUUUCUUAGAUUCCGUAUCAAAAUCAAAAUCAGACAAACAAAUUAAAACGGAGGAACUAUUCGGAACCUAACCUUUUUCGAAGAGUGAGUAAAUUGGAGUUCUUCGGAGUAAUUGAAGGAAGAAAUUGUAGGAAAAAAGCCUUCGCCUUCACCUUUCCAUGUACCAAGCAGGUCAGAUAAAGGUUUUACGGCCGGAUGCACCAUUUUUUCCGAUAGAUUUUCCGUGCCGGCGGCCAUUUUCCCGAUUGGUUCUUAUUUUAUUUCUCGUUUUUCAGCUCAAUUUGAAGAUUAUAUUUUCUUUUGACUAAAAAGUAAAUACUAUUUGGGCGGCUGCUUAUAAUUAAUUACAUGCGUUGACUAAGUAAAUUUUUCCUUUACCAUAUACUUUGAAUUAAGAUACAAUUUUUUUAAAAAAAAAUACUAUAUUUUUGUAGUAUUAAAUUCAAAUACUUGGUAAAAAUAUAUCCGAAGCAUGAGGUUUUUUUUUUGUGAAUUUUUAACGUGAACUAUGAAGUGUAAAAUUUUUUUACUUGAAUUAUUUAUUAAAGGAAAAAAACAAGCCUGGUAUAUAAUAAGUCAAUUGUAAUGUGGAUGAAAUUUUUAAGGCAUAAUAUAUAAAUAAACAUAUCAUUUAACUUAAUUUUAUUUUAUAUUUAUGUCUUUCAACUUUAAAUAUGCAAUGUAUAAAGUUAAACAAAUAGACACAUGAAUAUGGGUUCUGCUUCAUCCACAAAAUUUAGGCCCCAUAUGAUCAUAGCCAACAGGCAUCAGCACAUGACUUUGUUUGACAAGCUUAUUAGCUCAACUUGUAUAAAUAAUCCCUCUUUCAUGAGCCUUUUCAUCAUCAAGCACAAGCAUUAUAAGUUCAGCCAUCAAAAGUUUCGUGAAUUAAAACUAUCGAGAAAUAUAAUAGAUAAUAUCAUAUAAUUAUUAUUUAAUUUUUUAUUAAUUAGUUUUUCAAUAAUAACACUUGAUCUACCAAACUCAAUAUAGAAUAUCAGUCAUUUAUUCUAUCUAGACUAGAAAUAUAAUGCCAUAUAUUAAUUAUUUAAUAUUUUACUAAUUAAUUUUUAAAUAAUAUUUAAAUUAAGUGAAGGGUAAAAUCAUAAUCCAACUUUGAAGUUAAAAUCUUCCCAACUAUUUUUAAAUUUUACAAUUCCUUCUAGUUGCGAACAUGGUCUUGAGCUAAAGAAGAAACAAGGAGAAAAGAAAAUAAAAUCUAAUAAGGAACAAAAUAAUAAACUUUUAAUUUAUUAUAUACUUAAAAGUUUUAUUGUUUCCUAUUUAUUAUUUUUCAGGGAGUAAUAUUUUUGGUAAUUAUUGGAAGCCCUAAUAUUCUUUUUAUGUUAUAUUACAUAUCCGAAUUUGAGUAGGUCUGCAAAACCUAAUUUGAGUUGGAUUUGCUUCUCUUCUCACCUCUACCUCUAUAUAAGAGGCCGGGGUUAACAAAUUUUAACAAUUUCAAUUUCAAUGGUUAGAGUUUUUGACCAAAAUGAGCUAUUUUUAAAAUCAAUUCACCAAAAUAAUACGUUUUUAAUUUUUUUCACAAAACUAGUAUAAACGUACUUCAUGGUAGCGUUUUAGGAUAUUUUCAUUAUAAAAAUUCAACGGACAAAAAGUUAACGGGUUGACGACAUUAAGCGCAUAAACGUAACUGUGAGUAACGUUUUAGGUGUAAAACGUUACUCAAGAGUACGUUUUUGGAGAAAUGCAAUCACGGGCCACUGACUCCAAUCCUGCAAAGGCGGAGUCAAAUCAUUCAACUGUAAAACGUUACUAUGAGUAACGUUUUACACCUAAAAUGUUACUUUGACUCCCGUUUCUUAGAUUUGAUUGAUUGAUAGUUGAAGGACUGGUGCAAAGCUGUGUGUAGAAGAUACUAGGAUAAGAAUGAAAGUGAAGUACUCCCUCUUAACCAUACUUACAGAGGAGUCAUUGUUGAUAUAAACGAUCGAAAGAUUUCAUUUCAAGCUUUAUCUAUCUUUCUCUAUAGGACAUUGUGUAAACUUCAUCUGAUAUUUGGGCAGAUAUGCAGAAAGUGUUAUAGCAAAGGUCAAAUUGACCCAGUUAACAGUUGAGUGUGUAAAGAAAUUAUGAAACUUUUGUUGAAAGAAAACGAAGAGUUUCUGAAUGUACAUUUAACGUUCCUAAAUGCACUCUUAUUAUUUCUCUGAUCAUUGCUUUUAGAGUAUAAUAUAUUUGUGCUUGAAAAUGUUUCCAAGUUGAUGGACGUCAAGAAAACAUCUCACUGUUUGUUUGUAGUUCUGGUUUAAGUGGUAAGUUUCUUAUAUCAUAUUUUGCGGUUGUCUAAAGGAAUAGAAAAGAUAUAUUUUUUUCCAAAUAGCUAUUGGUAGUCUUUGGGAUGCUUUAUUUGAACGAGCGUGUUCUGAAAUAGCUUUUCUAUCUUCAAAAAAUUGGGGUAAAGCUGUGUAUAUUCCACUUUCCGUAGACCAACAUCAACUCCAUUGGAGGUUUUAAUAUCUCUAUCAUAUUUAGGAAAAAAAUUAAAAAUUUCUAAUAUAGGAACUGCCAUUGUAAGUUAGCAAUGUAUGAGCCGCAACCGUACUUGCGUACACACAAAAUUAGUAACUCUUUAGAUUAAAUUUGUCUGAUUUAGUGUAAAUACAAUUAAUAUAAAUACUCUAUUUCUUAUAAUAUUUGUAUCAAUAUGAAUGUUACCGAGUCUGAUACAAUUAUGAAAAAUAAGAAUUAAUAAUAAUAAUAAUAAUAAUAAUAAUAAUAAUAACAACAACAAAUAAUAAUAAUAAUAAUAAUAAUAAUAAUAAUAAUUUUAUCCGUCCCUAUUCCUUCAACUAUCAAUCAAUCAAAUCUAAGAAACGGGAGUCAAAGUAACAUUUUAGGUGUAAAACGUUACUCAUAGUAACGUUUUACAGUUGAAUGAUUUGACUCCGUCUUUGCAGGAUUGGAGUCAGUGGCCCGUGAUUGGAUUCUCCAAAAACGUACUCUUGAGUAACGUUUUACACCUAAAACGUUACUCACAGUUACGUUUAUGCGUUUAACGUCGCCAACCUGUUAACUUUUUGUCCGUUGAAUUUUUAUAAUGAAAAUAUCCUAAAACGUUACCAUGAAGUACGUUUAUACUAGUUUUGUAAAAAAAAAUUAAAAACGUAUUAUUUUGGUAAUUGAUUUUAAAAAUAGCUCAUUUUGAUCAAAAACUCCAAUGGUUAAUUUCGCAGAGAGGCGUCACCACUUUGCCACUAAAACAGCCUUCUUUUUUCGACCAGAAUUAAGAUGGUAUAACGAUAAUAACGAUGGUAAUAUUAGGGGUGAUUUACCUAACAUAGUCCUUCAGUAUAACCUUUUUGCUCAACAAGACGCUUGGCAUAAAUCACCCGUAAAUCAACCUUCAAAACUCAUAUAUUUGGAUGAAUUUCAUGAAUUUGAGACAAGAUCAUUUGAACUCAAACUAUGCCCUUCUCAAUACACGUCACACGACGUGUUUUUCAGUAUUCUUAAAGAACAUCUCACCAAUUGGGGUGACUAUUAUAAUGUUUGUGAUGACUAUCUCAUCAAACGAAUGAUAUUUUAUAUGGAUAAAAUUAUUGUAGAUGGAUUGAAAAAGGGUCGUGCUACUAGUUGUCAGAUUUUUGUUGAUAUGACUUUGAAAAUGAAAUAUGUUUUGGAUCGGAGAGUACUGUGGCGAUUGAGUGGGGGUAUGGUACCUGCUAGUAAGACAUCAAUAAUGGAGUUGCCGCAGAGAAUGGAGAUUGAUGAUGGUCAAUGUUUAAAGGAUAUUGACUGUGUCAUCUGUCUUGAACAACUUGUUUUGGAGGGUUGAAAUAUCGUUUGUAUGCCUUGCUCCCAUAUGUUUCAUAGAGAUUGUAUUGUUGUUUAUUUAUUUAAUAUAAACAUGUCUCUUGACUUGUUCAUUAAUUUUCUAUAGUGAAAAUCUCAUUAUCGUCCAUUGACUUUUAUUGGAAAAAAAAAUGCAAAUUACAACUCAUUUGAUGAGUUUUGUUAGAUUAAAAUGCUUCCCUAAAAAAAUUGAUAAGUUGGUUUUGACUUUUAAUUACCAAUUAUCGAAUUACUCAUCUAAAAUUUGAGUAUCCCAAACCGAAUAUCAAGGUUAAAAUUGGUUUAUAUAAUAGUUUAUAUUUCUGAAUUAAUUGAUUUACAAUUAAAUUAAUUAUUUUAUUUUGUAAAAAUUAUAAAAUUAGUUAAGUAAUUAAUAUUAAUUAAAUUUUAGUGAACUUCUCUAAACUAAACUCAAUUUGGGUAUGUAAUUUUAUAAAUGUUUCCAGAAACGGAUGAAUAAUUAGGAAUUCAUACCAAAAAUAUUAGUGAAAAAAAAUAAAAUAGGAAACAAUAAAACUUUUAAGUAUAUAAUAGAUUAAAUUUAUUCGGAAAUAGAACGCUUGUUAUAUAAGAGUUCAUUUAAUAAAUCAGGACCUAGGUAACCAAUACAUUUUUUUCCUUAUUAAAUUUUGUUGUUUUUUUAUCUUUACUAUUUAUCUUCUCCUUUAUAACUUCAGCUCGAGACGAUGUUGAACCCUACUAACCUUAGUAUAUAAUAUUCAUAUGCAAAUGAGUUGUACAAAGUAAGAAAUAUAUCACUCUUAGGGUGUAUUUAGAAAGAAAGGAAAAUAUUUUCCAAUAUUCCAACUUUCUUAUGUUUGAUUGAGUUAAACGUCUUGGAAAAUAUUUUUUAAAUCAACUCAUUUUUCUCAAAUUUAAGGAAAAUGACUUUCCUUCAAAAAUUAAAGAAAACAUUUUCCGAAACUCUCUUCCAACUUUAAAUUACAAUUUUUGUUACCAAAAAAAUCAAUUUUUUUGUCUCUACCUUCAAACCCCCCCCCCCUCUCCCUCAAAAAAAAAACUUAAAGCUUAUUUUUAAAAACUAUUUUUGUCUUCAACUUUUUGUUUUUUCACCUCACCGUACCCCCUAGCCCACUACCACCCCCCUCUCAAAAAAUAAAUUAAUUAAAAUUUAUUUUUAAACGAUAUUUUCAAUUUCAUUUUAUUUAUUUUUUUUACCCCACCCUCUACGCUCGACCCCCGUCAAGCCCCCCACCCCCUCCCAAAAAAAAAAUUAAGUUUGUUUUCCAAAAAUAUUUUUAACUUCAAAAUUUUAUUCACCCCUAUUUUCAACCACCCCACCCCCCUAUACAAAAAUAUUUGAAGAAAAACAUUUUAAGUUGUAUUUUUUCAUCAUAUUAAUAUGCAAAAAAAUUAUAAUUUAUAGUACUUUUCAUAUAGUUUUAGAACAUCUAUUUUUUUUGUUUAAAGUAUCGAAUUAGUGUGAUCUAAUUUAAUUUUGAAAAUUAGUCAAAUUGACUUUCGAAAAGCGCAACAUGACAAACAAUACUGGACGAAGAGAGUACUUAAUUAAGGCGCCAGAUAGUACUCAUGAUCUCCACAGGGGAAGUAAGAUCAACAAACACGUCCUCUUUGCAAGGUAUUGCCCAUUGAAUGAUCAAAGCCAAACUCUUCUUCAGCUCGAGUUAACAAGUCUUGAAAUAAAGGUUGGCUCAACUAUGAUUCGGGCUCUCUCCUACAUACACUGCACAAUGCCCUUCUGGAACACCUGUUAAGGAUAUACUUAGGAUUCGAUUAGCUUGAAUAAAUGGAGUCACCCAUUAUCUCAAGAAAUAUGAUGUAUUUCCAAAUGUUGAAGUAUAAAGAACAAGAACUUUGAAAAUUACACAGAAAAUGACAAGUCUUUUGAGGGUCAGAUACUUGUGUUUUGUUUCCAGUUCCAGAGAUAAGAAGUGGUCAGUACUAAGAAACUUAUCAACAUGGCCAAGAGAUGGCAGAACUUUGCAGCCAAGCAGAGGAAGAGGAUUUCAUUUCUAUUGAAAAGAAAGAAAGCAAUUGAGGAAAAUUUUCUGUUGCCUUUUAAUUGAAUCUGUACAUGUGCAUUUAUACAAAGCAAAAGGAAUAAAAAUUUGUUACUAUACUACCAGCUGUCCUUCUCUUAUUUGUUUUUCUCUAACUGACUAAUUGUAAAUAAAUAAAAACAAUAUUUACAUGUAUAAUGGAAUAUAUCUGAAAUAUUCCUUGGACAACUGUGAUGAUUCUCAUGAUGAAAUAUAAUACUAGUUGUGAUCAAAGGUUGAGAUGAUUUGAAAUAGGAAAGAGGAUAAAAAUGUCCUAAAGAUGAGAGAUAAUCAGACUUUGUCCCUCAUCUUUCGUCCAUUCUCUUUGAGCUCUGAAUCGAGUUCACUUCCAUGGUGAAACUCAAUGUUGCAAUCACCAACAUCCCCCCCUCAAGUUGGGAGGAGUGGAGACCACACCCAACUUGCCGAUGAUAUUCAGAUGAGCAGGACCAGACAAAGGUUUCGUGAAAAUAUCAGCGACUUGAGAUCUGGAGGGGAUAUAGGAGAGGGAUAUGAUUCCAGUCAAAAAUUGUUGGCGAACGAAGUGACAAUCUAACUCCACAUGCUUUGUGCGUUCAUGGAAAACUGGAUUACGAGCUAUGUGGAUAGCCACUUGGCUAUCAGAGUGAAGGGCCACAGGUAAAGAUGGAGGAACAGACAAGUCAUCAAGCAACCGAACCAGCCAGGUAACCUCUGCAACCACUCUUCUCAUAGAGCGAUAUUCUGCUUCAGCAGAAGAAAGAGAUACUAAAGGUUGCUUCUUGGACUUCCAGGAGAUCGGAGAACCCCCUAGACUGAUGUAAAACCCGCUGAUGGAGCGACGAGUAACAGGGCAAUUCCCCCAAUCAGAAUCACAAUAAGCAAGAAGGCGAAAAGAAGCAUGGGAAGACAUAAAUAAACCCAAUCCAGGAUCCCGGAGGAGAUACCGAAGACAGUGAUAAGCAGCAGUUAAAUGAGGUUGACGAGGACACUGCAUGUAUUGACUGAGAGUCUGAACAGCAAAAGACAAAUCCGGUCGUGUAUGGGUUAAAAAAUUAAGCUUUCCCAACAGUCGGCGAUAGAAAGUAGGGUCGGGUAAAGGCUCUCCUUCAUCUGGAAGUAGCUUGUGAGCAGGAUUUAGAGGAGAAGAGACAGGCUUGAGAUAAAGACAAUCAAAUUCAGACAACAUGUCCAAGGUAAAUUUCCUCUGAGUUAUAACUAAACCAUGUGGUUCUCUCAAUAAUUCCAUGCCUAAGAAAAAAUUAGCCUGACCAAGGUCUUUAAUCUGAAAUUCCGAGUGAAGAAAAUCUUUCAAAGACGAUUGUUCAGUAAUAUCAUCCCCAGUAAUUAAAAUAUCAUCAACAUAAACAGCCACAAUGGUUACUUUGCCGGAGAGUUGUCUAAAAAACAAUGAAUAAUCAUUUAGAGAACAAGUGUAACCUUUAAAAUUAAGAGCUGUUGUGAGCCUGGCAUACCAUUGCCUAGAGGCUUGUCGUAAACCAUAAAGGGAUUUCUUCAAUAGACAUACAUGAUUGGGAGUAGGUGGUGAUAAACCAGCAGGGAAUUUCAUAAAAACCUCUUCUUGUAAAUCACCAUGUAGAAAAGCGUUAUUAACAUCUAACUGAGAAAUGUUCCAAUUCUUUUUUACUGCAAUGGCAAGUAAGCAUCUAAUGGUAGUCAUCUUAACCACUGGAGAGAAAGUCUCAGUAAAAUCAAUACCCUCACGUUGAGUGUCUCCCCGUACAACUAAACGAGCUUUGAACCUUUCUAAAGAACCAUCUGAUUUAUACUUCACCCGAUAAACCCAUUUGCAAGGGAGAGCCUUCUUCCCAGGAGGCAAGAGAACAACUUCCCAAGUUUUGUUGGCCUCAAGUGCAUCAAACUCCUUGGACAUAGCAGCUUGCCAACCAGGAUAAAGAACAGCUUGAGAAUAGGAGGUAGGCUCAGAAAUGUAUGAAGUAGAAUUAAGGAGAGAUUGAUUUGUAGAAGAUAGAGCAGAGAAAGGUAAAAUAGUAGGGUCAAGAGAAACUGAAAAACAUGAUUCAGUAAGUUGAGAUGUGACAAAAACAGAAUUACAUAAGUACUCAGCAAGAUAAGAAGGAGGUUGUUUGACUCUAUUAGACUUCCUAGUAAUAGGGAGAGGGGGUGAAGGAGUUGUAGAAGAAGAAGAAAUGUCGGCAUGUAGAGGAGAAGAUGAAUGUGAUGAUUCGAGAGGAAUUAAAUCUGAAGUAGAAAUAUCAAAAGGAUCAUGAUCAGGAUAAGAAAGAGAAUGAGCAUCCGGAACAGGAAAUAGAUGCUUAUGACUUGAAGUUGAGGAAAAAGGAAAAAUAGAUUCAUGGAAUUGAACAUGUCGAGAAAUAAAAACCUUCAUAGUCUGAAGAUUCAAAAGCCUGUAACCCUUCUUUCCAAAAGGAUAACCUAAGAAAACACUUGGUAUAGACCUAGGAUCAAACUUGUCUCUCAAUUGAGAGAUAGUACAAGCAUAGGUUAAACAACCAAAUGUCCUAAGAGAAUGAUAAGAAGGAGGCUUACCAAAUAAGAUUUCAUAAGGAGUUUUGAAUUGAAGAAUGCGAGAUGGGAAUCUGUUGAUUAAAAAAGUAGCAGUGAGGAUACAAUCACCCCAAAAAUGAAUGGACAAUUUUGAUUGAUAUAAAAGAGCUCUAGAAGUCUCAAGUAGAUGUUUGUGUUUCCUUUCAACAAUUCCAUUUUGUUGUGGGGUGUAUACACAAGUUGUCUGAUGAAUGAUACCCUUUGAAGAAAAGAAUUCUGAGAUUUCAAAACUUCCCCCAAGUUCCAUGGCAUUGUCGGUGUUGUGCGGAAUUUGAGAUAAUACGAGAAAAUAUAAAAUGCGAAAAACAAGACAACAGAUUUACGUGGUUCACCAAUAAAUUGGCUACGUCCACGGGAAGAGAGGGAGCAGUUUUAUUAUGGAGAGGCAAAAACAGAAUUACAGAAUAGGGUUUGCCAUAGCAUCUAUAUAUAGUGCUAAGCUACGCCCUAACAGGCUUGGGCUUGGGCCCAGGCCAGGGGGCGCGUCGCCCCCCUGGACCCCCUGACUCGCUGACCGGGCAGCGAGACCCCCGUCCUUUCUGUUUGUAGCGGGUCCGAUUCAAGGCAUUCAACAGUCGGAUCUAAUGGUUUUAACUUGUUUACCAAAUUGUCGUUCAGUCAUAGCUAGAAACUGUUUUAGGACUGUAAAAGCAUUUGAUUUAGUGGAAAGGAGAUAAGUCCAAGUAGCCCUACUAAAAUCAUCAACAAUGGUAAGGAAAUAUCGAAAACCUUCAAGAGUGGGUGUUUUAUAUGGCCCCCAAGUAUCUAUGUGAAUUAGAUCAAAGACAUUAAUAGUAGAUCUAAGACUUGAGAAAAAUGGCAUUUUAACUUGUCUGGCCUUGGCACAUAUAUCACAAGCAUCAAUAGAAUUACUAGAAGAAUAAGAAAGAGAUGAAAUAUUCUUCAUAUUACUUAAAGGCAAAUGCCCCAAACGAUUGUGCCAUAGACUUACAUCGGUAGGAACAGUAGCAGAAAAAGAAACUGAACUAGAUAGGUUUCUGCUUUCAUUACAAAGAGUAAAAACUGAAUUAGAAAUACUAGGUACAUCUAGAGGAUUGCAACUAGUAGUAGGCUUGAUAGUGUGAAGAAGAUAGAUCCCCUGCUUAGCCUCCCCAAGUAAUAUUGGCCUCUUCAUUGAAGGGGCCUGCAAAACAGUUCCAAAGGAAGUAAAAAGAAGAGAUGAAUUAGCUCUAGAGCAUAUUUUGUGAACUGAAAGAAGAUUGCACCUAAAACUAGGAACAAAGAGAACAUCUACAACAGUAAAAUUGGGUAAAAUGUUGACACUUCCAGCUUGAGUGACUUUAAUUCUUUCUGAAUUAGGAAGAUUAACAAAAACAGGAGUGAGUAGAGGGUGAAUAUUGAAUAAAAGCUUGGAAUCAUGGGUCAUAUGCUCGGAUGCUCCUGAAUCUAAAAUCCAGAUGAUAGAUUUAGAAGAAUGCAUAGAAGUAGAAAGAGUUUGAGCUAUACCAGCACAGUUAACAGAUAUAUGAACCUCAGAGUUUGAUUCACCUUGAGUGCCUAACUUGAGGUGUUGAAAAUCUUGAUGCAUACGACACAUGUGCUGAUAUUGUUCCCGUGUGAAUUCUUUCUCAGGGAGAGCAAUUGAAGAAUUUCCUGCAUCAGUACCUGUGCAUACUGCAUUACUCUGUGUUUGAGAUUUCUUUCCUUUGGUAAAUUUUAAAUCUGCUGGGAAUCCGAUCAACCUAUAGCAGUUCUGUGCCGUGUGCCUUGUCUUUUUACAAUAAGUGCAGAAUAAGUUGUUCUUUGAUUCUUCAAAAUUUCCUUUCUUCUCUAAUGUGUUGAAUUUUUGAACCCCAUAUUGUUGUCUUGCAGCCAUGAAAGCUGACUCAAUUGGAUGUUGAAAAGUGUGAAUUUCUCUCUGCUUCUCAUCUUGGAUCAACAAUGAAUAAGCUUGAUUGACACUUGGCAAGGGUGAUAUCAUCAAGAUAUUGCUUCUAACACUAGAAUAUGCAUCAUUCAGUCCCAUAAGGAACUGAAUGAGCCUGUCGUCUUGAUGAGAUUUAAGAGUCCUAUUCUUACCUCCACAAGAACAGGCACAAGUGCAAUGAGCACAAGUGUCAAGACUAUCCAACUCAUCCCAAAUCCUUUUCACCUUGGUAUAAUAACCAGCCACAUCUGAGUUUCCUUGUACCAAAUCACUUAACUCUUUUUGGAGCUGAAAUAAUUUUGCACCAUUGCACUGCCCAAACCUAUCUUCAAGUUCUUUCCAAAUGUCCUUAGCAGUUUUUGAAUAUAAGACACUUUCUGCUAUAUCCUUAGAAAGGGAGUUGAGUAACCAUGAAAUCACCAUAUCAUUGCAUCGAUUCCAUGCCUUAUAGGUUGGUGAAGAAACAGCAGGUUCACUAAGACUUCCAUCAAUGAAGCUGAGUUUGUUCUUGGCAGAAAGAGCUAUGAAGACUGCUCUGCGCCAGCCACCGUAGCUCUUCCCAUCGAAGAUUGAGUUGACAAGCACCAUUCCAGGUGAAUCGGAUGGGUGAAGAUAAAAAGGAUUAGAGGCAUCAUUUCCUUGGUUGAUCUGAAUAGUUGAACUUACUGGAGUUGAACCUCCAGCCUCUCCAACUUGAGAUGUGGCAGUAUAACCAGCCAUGAGAGGAUGAGGUCAAGAAAAAAGAAGGAAAAGAAAGAGGGUCGUGAUGAAGAUCUUAUUGCUCUGAUACCAUAUUGAAAAGAAAGAAAGCAAUUGAGGAAAAUUUUCUGUUGCCUUUUCAUUGAAUCUGUACAUGUGCAUUUAUACAAAGCAAAAGUAAUAAAAAUUUGUUACUAUACUACCAGCUGUCCUUCUCUUAUUUGUUUUUCUCUAACUGACUAAUUGUAAAUAAAUAAAAAACAAUAUUUACAUAUAUAAUGGAAUAUAUCUGGAAUAUUCCUUGGACAACUAUGAUGAUUCUCAUGAUGAAAUAUAAUACUAGUUGUGAUCAAAGGCUGAGAUGAUUUGAAAUAGGAAAGAGGAUAAAAAUGUCCUAAAGAUGAGAGAUAAUCAGACUUUGUCCCUCAUCUUUCGUCCAUUCUCUUUGAGCUCUGAAUCAAGUUCACUUCCAUGGUGAAACUCAAUGUUGCAAUCACCAACAAUUUCCGAGAAGUGGAAGUGAAGAAGACAGCUACAGUACAUCCUCAUCCUCUAGAGUUGCAAAGGGUCAUUUUGUGAUAUAUACAGCUGAUCAAGCACGGUUUAUCAUUCCGUUGGCUUACCCUGAAACGAGGCCAUUGCACAACUUUCAAACAAGUCUGAAGAAAGAGUUUGGGCUGGCCAUAUUACAUUACCCUGUGAUUCAGGCUUCAUGAACUGCAUCAUUUCACUAAUCAAGAAAGGUGUAGCUGCUGGAGAUCUUCAGAUCAUUUCACUAAUCAAGAAAGGUGUAGCUGCUGGAGAUCUUCAGAGGGCGUUGCUCCUCUCAAUUCCUUCAUGUUGCAGUUCAACUUUCUCUUUGCACCAAAACAGUCGAAACCACCAGAUUCUUGUUUAUUGAGUCAUGAAAUUAAUGAUCAUGUUUUGUAAAUGAUAGCUCAAUAUAGAUAUACUAUAGCAAGUGAAAAAAAGGAAACCGAAAUCUUGUAUUAUUACAGAAAUAGAGUUUUAUCUUGCAAUUAACAUUCAGUAUCAUACUUCUGGUAAAAUGUAAACACACACAAACAUUUGUUAAGAAGUGCGCCUGGGAUGUAGUAUAGGUAGUUAUAUCGCCGGUUAUGAGGUGACAGCCUAGAGCUUGCUUCUUAAGAGAGGCUGUGAGAUGAGGCUGAAGAUCAGUUAGACUGGUAGCCAUCUCCACAGCAUACGAUAGUUCACAAUUCUCCACUUUAAAAACUCGAGUUAUCUCCUUGACCUGUCCAUCAGGUAAGUGAAGGAUCACAUUAUUAGUCGAACUACACCAAUCUCCACCAACAAUUAAAGGGCUUUUUCCCCCAAACGUAAAUACGAUACUUGCAUUUAAGAAAAACUUAAAAGUUGAAACCAUUUCCACAAACAUCAUCUUGCAAGACAAUACUUGUAGAAUAUGCUAACAUUUACUUUUUCUUUGUAACUUUCUUCACGUCAAAUCCGACACAUAUAUGUUUCAAGACUUCAGUUUCUACUUUAACUUUACAUCCUAGAAAACAUGAAAACUUGUAACUCUAUUAUAAAGGUGUACAAGCGCAUAAAAGGGUCAAAGAUGAAGGUAGAAAAAAACAGAUAAAAUGUUCUAGAGGAGAUUACCUUGGAAGCAUUGCCAACCAGUUCGCUUUUAAGCUUCACAACUCCCUCUUUCAUGUCAUAUGUUCCUUUCUGUAAGUAGAAAUAUUAUGUUUUAUGGUGAACCAAAAUGGAUAAACACGCCGACAUAUACAAUUGACCUCCCAGAUUGUCAAUGAGUCUUGUUUUUUUAACAUCAAAUUACCAUCUCAACACUAGAAUCGCGGACCAAAACAAGGAAAAACCAAUGUAAAACUGAUAACAUGAAAUUCAGAGGCAUGACUCAUGAAUCAUAGAAAUGAUUUAACUUAUUGUUCACUGGUAAUGUAAAACUGUUCUAAUAAUAAGUUGAUCACCUGGACUUCAACAAGACCGGUGCUCUGAGCAAUGACGACUUCAAUGGUCCCAUCGGGUUUAGGUCUCCAGUAUCCGCUCUCAGAAUGCAUAGGUUGUCCAGAUUUCAAGUUCCAUGUCUUUUGAGAAUAAGCUAUCACAGGCUGAUAAAAAGAAGCAAAAUU
rnacentral:lncRNA from 1 species